AGAGUACUGCGGAGGACAUUAUCGAGUUUUUGUGAAGGGUUGUAGCUCUCGUGUGCACGCCCGGAUCAUCCACUUACACCUGUGCACUUUUUGCGGGAGGGAGAAAUCCCGACCGCGUCUCUCACACACACACACAAUUAACAAAAGGAAAACAGCGCAGGGCGAAUUUAUUAAAACAAUUUUCAACAACGGAUCCCUUGGUUCUCGCACCAAUGAAAAACGCACCGAAAUGCAAAAAUAAAGGUGAAUUGCAAAAUUCAGGGAACCACCAAAUCUUUGAACGCACCUUGCGCUCCUUGGAAUUCCAAGGAGCAGGCCGGUUUGAGGGCCAUGAACAUAUCAACUCGAAAAAUUUUAUUUUUCCAAGUUGGGACUUGGAGGCCUUUGCCGGCGAUCGUCGGCUCCUCUCAAAUGCAUUAACUGGGCUUUAGCUCAGGGGAUCAAUCGGUGUGAUAAUUAUCUGCGCCGCUCUGCCCCUGGAUCCGCUUACAGUCGUCCCCCCGGGAGAAUUUUUCAUCAUCUGACCUCAAAUCACGUAUGACUACCCCCUGAACUUAUACAUAUCAAA
rnacentral:rRNA from 1 species